UCCCCGGGAGAGCGAGACUGGAGGCUCCCGGGUGGUAAUGGCCGGGUCCCAGGCCUGCGGGGGCAAGGGGAAGCCUCCAGCGGGCAGGCGGCCGGGACCCUGGCGUUCCUCUGAGCACUGACCCCGUACACGAAAAGGUGCACAGUAUACUAAUUCAACUAUUCUGUACAUUACUUAAUGCUCAUCAAGAAAUCUCCUUCAUCGAUUCCCUGAGAUCCCAGCCAAACCCAGUUCAC